CAUCAACUCAUUCCUCUGCGGAGUGAUUUGCUCACACUUACAGUAAUAUGUGUAAUAUGUGUAAUAUGUAAUAAUGUGUGUGUGUGUGUGUGUGUGUGUGUAGAACUGCAUGUGACUGACAUGUCUACAGACUGAUGAUUACUCACAUUAGGAGAUAUAUUCCUAGCUAAAUGAGUCCAUAAUGAGAAUACUGUAGAUGGUACCUAUAGGUGUGUGUGUGUGUGUGUGUGUGUGUGUAGAACUGCAUGUGACUGACAUGUCUACAGACUGAUGAUUAUUCACAUUAGGAGAUAUAUUCCUAGUGAUUAGCUAAAUGAGUCCAUAAUGACAAUACUAUAGAUGGUACCUAUAGAUGGUAUUAUCAGUCUAAUGGCCACUAUUGCUAUUGAAUUCUCUUUUUACUGCUGCUCCCAUGAACAGCUAGAUAUAUUUGCAUAGUUUAGGAAGUUCACUGACAGCACAGACAAGGAACCAAACAAUUCCAAAUGCAGACAAUGAGGCACCAAUGCACCAGAGAAUAACUGAGGGGGUGUGGGGACAGGUAUGAUGUGUACUGUAUCUGUGGAUUAACUUACCCUCCAUCAGAGUGUGUGGGGACAGGUAUGAUGUGUACUGUAUCUGUGGAUUAUCUUACCCUCCAUCAGAGUGUGUUGGUUUGCUGCUUUGUUGCACACAGCUGUGUGC